rnacentral:lncRNA from 1 species
GAGAAACAAUAAAAUCGGAAGAACCCUUUUUGCCGUUGGAAGCGUGGAUGAUGGUGGUUCUUCCGAUGUGGAUCACGUUGGCUUGAAUGCGAGCUUUGAUUGCCAAGUGGGAGUGAGUAGAUGAGCACGAAAUCAGAUGGAAAAGCUUGAAUGCACUUGAUUUCUCCUCUUGAAAGCACUAACUCCCUUGAACCUCUUUCUCUUUCUUCUCUCUUGAAUGAUCUUGUGUUUGGUUGGUGAGAAGUUGUUGAGAAGCACUUAAGAGGUCCCUUUUAUAGCCCAAAAAGCAAAUAUAGCCGUUAGACACAAAGAUAUGACCGUUUGAAAUUCAAAUCUACCUGAAAAAGUUGUCAGUCGCGUCCCAGGCGCUCCGGGGACGUCUCCGCUUCAACGCGAGACGUCUCGGCUGUAUAAAAUUUCUUUUGACGUUGUUUGGAGUCGACUCGGCGCUUUACGGGGACGUCUCUGAAGAAGAGCAGCUU